CAAGGAGGCAGCAGGCGCGCAAAUACCCACUCCCGGCACGGGGAGGUAGUGACGAAAAAUAACGAUACGGGACUCAUCCGAGGCCCCGUAAUCGGAAUGAGUACACUUUAAAUCCUUUAACGAGGAUCAAUUGGAGGGCAAGUCUGGUGCCAGCAGCCGCGGUAAUUCCAGCUCCAAUAGCGUAUAUUAAAGUUGUUGCGGUUAAAAAGCUCGUAGUCGAAUUUGUGUCGUGCGCCGCCGGUUCAUCGCUCGCGGUGUCAACUGGCGUGUCGCAGGACGUCCUGCCGGUGGAUUUAGCUCGUCGCGUGGUCGCACUCCUAACCGGGUCGGUCGCGUGCGGGCGGUCCAACUUCAACAAUCCCAUCGCGGUGCUCUUCGCUGAGUGUCGAGGUGGGCCGGCACGUUUACUUUGAACAAAUUAGAGUGCUUAAAGCAGGCUAAAAACUCGCCUGAAUACUGUGUGCAUGGAAUAAUGGAAUAGGACCUCGGUUCUAUUUUGUUGGUUUUCGGAACCCCGAGGUAAUGAUUAAUAGGAACGGAUGGGGGCAUUCGUAUUGCGACGUUAGAGGUGAAAUUCUUGGAUCGUCGCAAGACGAACUUAAGCGAAAGCAUUUGCCAAAAACGUUUUCAUUGAUCAAGAACGAAAGUUAGAGGUUCGAAGGCGAUCAGAUACCGCCCUAGUUCUAACCAUAAACGAUGCCAGCUAGCGAUCCGCCGACGUUCCUCCGAUGACUCGGCGGGCAGCUUCCGGGAAACCAAAGCUUUUGGGUUCCGGGGGAAGU
rnacentral:rRNA from 1 species